GAGGGUAGAGCUCAGUGGUAGAGUGCCUGCUUAGUGUGCACUAUGUCCUGGGUUCAACUCCCAGGACCUCUA
rnacentral:tRNA from 1 species